rnacentral:rRNA from 1 species
UUUAUUGGAGAGUUUGAUCCUGGCUCAGGAUGAACGCUGGCGGCGUGCCUAAUACAUGCAAGUCGAGCGAAUGGAUUGAGAGCUUGCUCUCAAGAAGUUAGCGGCGGACGGGUGAGUAACACGUGGGUAACCUGCCCAUAAGACUGGGAUAACUCCGGGAAACCGGGGCUAAUACCGGAUAACAUUUUGAACUGCGUGGUUCGAAAUUGAAAGGCGGCUUCGGCUGUCACUUAUGGAUGGACCCGCGUCGCAUUAGCUAGUUGGUGAGGUAACGGCUCACCAAGGCAACGAUGCGUAGCCGACCUGAGAGGGUGAUCGGCCACACUGGGACUGAGACACGGCCCAGACUCCUAC